AACGAACGCUGGCGGCAUGCCUAACACAUGCAAGUCGAACGAGACCUUCGGGUCUAGUGGCGCACGGGUGCGUAACGCGUGGGAACCUGCCUUUAGGUUCGGAAUAACUCAGAGAAAUUUGAGCUAAUACCGGAUGAUGUCUUCGGACCAAAGAUUUAUCGCCUUUAGAUGGGCCCGCGUUGGAUUAGCUAGUUGGUGGGGUAAAGGCCUACCAAGGCGACGAUCCUUAGCUGGUCUGAGAGGAUGAUCAGCCACACUGGGACUGAGACACGGCCCAGACUCCUACGGGAGGCAGCAGUGGGGAAUAUUGGACAAUGGGCGAAAGCCUGAUCCAGCAAUGCCGCGUGAGUGAUGAAGGCCUUAGGGUUGUAAAGCUCUUUUACCCGAGAUGAUAAUGACAGUAUCGGGAGAAUAAGCUCCGGCUAACUCCGUG
rnacentral:rRNA from 1 species